UGACCAUAUGACGUUGCACCUGGACGCUCUCUGUGGUUUCUGAUGUCCGCCAUUACCUCGCUUCGCCUGAACUUCUGAUGUUCUUCAAGUCAACUCAUUUAAACAAGGUUUGCUGCUGUUUCCUGUAGCGGUCUGACUUUGUAGCCAUAUUGCUGAAUUUGGUUGUUCAAAAGGAUGAAGCUUGGUCCGAGGAGGAGGAGGAUUUCCUCCAGCCGCCACAUGACAUUGGAGUUGUUAUCGAUGGUGUGAAAGUCCUUAAUGAUUUGCCAUCGGUAGCGCAUGCAUGUGCUAUGUUAUUUGGGCUCAUUUAUGCUCUAAACUUGAGCUACCCAAGUGACCUCAAAUACACUUUUGAUGCUCUGAGUUUGCACUCUGAGUCUCAAACUGUAAAUAUUGGACCAAUGAAAAGACAUUUGGAUACAACAUGUGUUUUUGUUCUGUUAUAUAACUUGUAUUCAAAUACACUCCAUGAUAAUGGAAGGUAAAGAAACAGACUUUGUUUGAAAAAUGUUAAUUUUGUAUUAAUUCUACACACUGAAAAUGUGAAAAAUGCUAAAUUCACGACAAUUCAGUAGCACUGGUAAUGUUUUUGUUACAGUGGGUUAUGCACAACCCCUUGUUCAAAGGGUUUAACCCUUGUUAUGCAUGUUAUACAUGUUUGUUAUGCACAACAAAGGAUUUAACUCAUUAUGCACAACCCCUUGUUCAAAGGGUUUAACCCUUGUUAUGCAUGUUAUACAUGUUUGUUAUGCACAACAAAGGAUUUAACUCAUUAUGCACAACCCCUUGUUCAAAGGGUUUAACCCUUGUUAUGCAUGUUAUACAUGUUUGUUAUGCACAACAAAGGAUUUAACUCAUUAUGCACAACCCCUUGUUCAAAGGGUUUAACCCUUGUUAUGCAUGUUAUACAUGUUUGUUAUGCACAACAAAGGAUUUAACUCAUUAUGCACAACCCCUUGUUCAAAGGGUUUAACCCUUGUUAUGCAUGUUAUACAUGUUUGUUAUGCACAACAAAGGAUUUAACUCAUUAUGCACAACCCCUUGUUCAAAGGGUUUAACCCUUGUUAUGCAUGUUAUACAUGUUUGUUAUGCACAACAAAGGAUUUAACUCAUUAUGCACAACCCCUUGUUCAAAGGGUUUAACCCUUGUUAUGCAUGUUAUACAUGUUUGUUAUGCACAACAAAGGAUUUAACUCAUUAUGCACAACCCCUUGUUCAAAGGGUUUAACCCUUGUUAUGCAUGUUAUACAUGUUUGUUAUGCACAACAAAGGAUUUAACUCAUUAUGCACAACCCCUUGUUCAAAGAUUGGACACUAGCAAUUUAAGAGAUGUAACCAUAUUGUUCAUGUCAAGAUGUAUGUUGAUCUUUUGUCAAUAUUUUGGUUUUUAUUUAGUGUAAACUAAAUUACACUGAUUGUAACAACAUGUUUUAUACUCUAGCAAAUUUUGCUUUUGUCCAUGGUAAAAGUUUUAAGU